rnacentral:rRNA from 1 species
GACGUAGGGCGCAAGCGUUGUCCGGAAUUAUUGGGCGUAAAGAGCUCGUAGGCGGUCUGUUGCGUCCGCUGUGAAAACUCGGGGCUUAACCCCGAGCCUGCAGUGGAUACGGGCAGACUAGAGGUAGGUAGGGGAGAAUGGAAUUCCCGGUGUAGCGGUGAAAUGCGCAGAUAUCGGGAGGAACACCGGUGGCGAAAGCGGCUCACUGGACCUCUUCUGACGCUGAGGCACGAAAGCUAGGGUAGCGAACGGG